UACGUAGGGUGCAAGCGUUGUCCGGAAUUAUUGGGCGUAAAGAGCUUGUAGGCGGUUUGUCGCGUCUGCUGUGAAAUUUCGGGGCUCAAUCCCGAACUUGCAGUGGGUACGGGCAGACUAGAGUGUGGUAGGGGAGACUGGAAUUCCUGGUGUAGCGGUGAAAUGCGCAGAUAUCAGGAGGAACACCGGUGGCGAAGGCGGGUCUCUGGGCCGAUACUGACGCUGAGGAGCGAAAAGCGUGGGGGAGCGAACAGG
rnacentral:rRNA from 1 species